AAUAUUGGACAAUGGGGGGAACCCUGAUCCAGCCACGCCGCGUGUGUGAAGAAGGUCUUCGGAUGUUAAAGCACUUUAAGUAGGGAGGAAGAGUUGUAGGCUAAUACCUUGCAAUUUUGACGUUACCAACAGAAUAAGCACCGGCUAACUCUGUGCCAGCAGCCGCGGUAAUACAGAGGGUGCAAGCGUUAAUCGGAAUUACUGGGGGUAAAGCGCGCGUAGGUGGUUCAGUAAGAUGGGUGUGAAAUCCCCGGGCUUAACCUGGGAACUGCUUUCAUAACUGCUGAGCUAGAGUACGGUAGAGGGUAGUGGAAUUUCCUGUGUAGCGGUGAAAUGCGUAGAUAUAGGAAGGAACACCAGUGGCGAAGGCGACUACCUGGACUGAUACUGACGCUGAGGUGCGAAAGCGUGGGGAGCAAACA
rnacentral:rRNA from 1 species